rnacentral:tRNA from 1 species
GGGGCCGUAGCUCAAUGGCAGAGCGGCGGACUCAUAAUCCGCGGGUUGGGGGUUCGAGUCCCUCCGGCCCCA